UACAGAGGUCUCAAGCGUUGUUCGGAUUCAUUGGGCGUAAAGGGUGCGUAGGCGGCGCGGUAAGUCGGGUGUGAAAUCUCGGAGCUUAACUCCGAAACUGCAUUCGAUACUGCCGUGCUUGAGGACUGGAGAGGAGACUGGAAUUUACGGUGUAGCGGUGAAAUGCGUAGAUAUCGUAAGGAAGACCAGUGGCGAAGGCGGGUCUCUGGACGCCUACUGACGCUGAGACGCGAAAGCCAGGGGAGCGAACGGG
rnacentral:rRNA from 1 species